rnacentral:rRNA from 1 species
CGCAAGCCUGACGGAGCAACGCCGCGUGAUAGGAUGAAGGCCCCUUGGCUGUAAAGCCUCUUUUAUCAAGCACGAAGAUCUGAGGGUACUUGGUGA